rnacentral:lncRNA from 1 species
UAUAGUAUUGUGAGUAUUUUCUUGAGUAUAAGAAUACUUUGAGCGUAGUUUUUCUGCAAGAUUUUCUCAGAAUAAUAUCCGAUAUUUCAGUCAAAUCCAAGCUUCUACUAAGGUAAAGGAUAUUAUUUUAUUGCAAUACUCGGGAGAAAAAUAUUAUUUUCUUUCAUACUCCAUAUUAUGUAAACGAUAUUAUUUCAUCUCGUAUUCCUAAAUUUGAACUUACUAUGGUAAGUAUUGCUUCUAUAAUUCCUGAAAUGAUUAGAAAUUUUGUUUCAUCUAAUAUCAUUUCAUAGGAAUAUUGGUCUGAACUUUUUAUCAAAUUUGGAACUUGUCAUUACUGGUACUGUUCACGGGUACUGUUCAUGGGUACUGUUCACGGGUAUUGUUCACGGGUACUGUUCAAAAAAAUAAAUAAAUUAAUAAUAAUAUUUUUUUUUCUUCCAAAUUAUUUGUUGUGACCCUUAUUCCUAAAAGUUUAAUCCAUGUUUUGAUUUUUCAUCAUCCUCAGUCCUAAAUGGUGAUAUAAAUGAAUAUCUUUGGCCUGUAGUGCAAAGAUGAAUGAUUAACUAAUGAAUAUCUUUGGCCCGUAGUGCAAAGAUGAACAAGUGUUGAGAUGAACAUGACCAACUGGUGAUACAAAUGAAUAUCUUUGGCCUGUAGUGCAAAGAUGAUUAAAGAUGUAUAUUGAUUAUUAUUACAGGGAUAAAAUAUUGAUGAUGGACUUUUAAACCUUAGAAGACAGUAGAAUUCUUUCUCUACGUGACUCUUCUAAUGGAUUGAUGUUCCGCUGCAUUUAUUGAUCUAAAAACUUGUUGUCUAUUAUAUUUUAUCAGAUUUUUCCCUGUUGAAGACUAACGAUAAUUUGUUGUAUAUUAUCUUAGUCAUAAUAUUCUUUACUGGGCUAGUUGAGCUCACCCUUUCUUUUUUGUUCCAUUUUUCUUCUCAGGAGGUGAGAACAUAGCAGGAUCGAGUCGGGGUAUGGAGUGAUGGUUCUAGGAAGAUGUUUUAGCAGUCCUCUCUAUUUCUAUAAAAUAGUGUUUGAAUAAUUGUAAUGAGGACUUAUUUGCGUGUGGAUAUUGUCUAGAAGACAAUAUUUGUAUUUUAAACUCACAGUAUGUAUUAUCGUAUUUCACACGACAUUUGUAUUAUUGAAGUUGUAGUUUGCUUUAUGUACCAUGUAUUUGGCGACUCAGAAUGGGUGUUGUAUACCUAUUUUGGGGGCGUCACAGUAAUAGUAGAAAAACGAA